AGAGUUUGAUCAUGGCUCAGAUUGAACGCUGGCGGAAUGCUUUACACAUGCAAGUCGUACGAGUUCAGGGCUUCGGCCCUGGGCUAGUGGCGAACGGGUGCGUAACACGUGAGCAACCUGCCUGGUCGUGGGGGAUAACCAGUGGAAACGCUGGCUAAUACCGCAUGAGCUCAUCGGGGUGAUUGCCCUGGUGAGGAAAGCUCCUUCACGGGAGUGCGACCAGAGGGGCUCGCGGCGUAUCAGCUAGUUGGUGAGGUAACGGCUCACCAAGGCGACGACGCGUAGCCGAUCUGAGAGGAUGAUCGGCCACAUUGGGACUGAGAUACGGCCCAGACUCCUACGGGAGGCAGCAGUGGGGAAUCUUGCGCAAUGGGCGAAAGCCUGACGCAGCGACGCCGCGUGCGGGAAGAAGCUUUUCGGAGUGUAAACCGCUGUCAGGGGGGAAGAACGGCCGGAGGAGGAAAUGCCUUCGGAUUGACGGUACCCCCAGAGGAAGCACCGGCUAACUCUGUGCCAGCAGCCGCGGUAAUACAGAGGGUGCGAGCGUUGUUCGGAAUUACUGGGCGUAAAGCGCGCGUAGGUGGUGUGUUAAGUCUACUCGUGAAAUGCUGGGGCUCAACCCCAAGCGCUGCGGGGGAUACUGGCACGCUGGAGACACGUAGAGGCAAGCGGAAUUCCGGGUGUAGCGGUGGAAUGCGUAGAG
rnacentral:rRNA from 1 species